rnacentral:rRNA from 1 species
AGGGAGGCGUAGGCGGCUGAUUAAGUCAGCGGUGAAAGGUAGCAGCUUAACUGUUUUACAUGCCGUUGAUACUGGUUAGCUUGAGUUGACAGAAGGCAGAUAGAAUUCCUGAUGUAGCGGUGAAAUGCUUAGAUAUCAGGAGGAAUACCGAUUGCGAAGGCAGUCUGCUGCAGUCACACUGACGCUGAGGCUCGAAGGUGCGGGGAUCAAACAGGAUUAGAUACCCCUGU